GAAAUUAUCAUGUCUACCUGUGAAGGUGUUGAAUAGAAGGAGUUGAAUAGAAGGUGUUGAAUAGAAGGAGUUGAAUAGAAGGAGUUGAAUAGAAGGAGUUGAAUAGAAGGUGUUGAAUAGAAGGAGUUGAAUAGAAGGUGUUGAAUAGAAGGAGUUGAAUAGAAGGAGUUGAAUAGAAGGAGUUGAAUAGAAGGUGUUGAAUAGAAGGAGUUGAAUAGAAGGUGUUGAAUAGAAGGAGUUGAAUAGAAGGAGUUGAAUAGAAGGUGUUGAAUAGAAGGAGUUGAAUAGAAGGAGUUGAAUAGAAGGAGUUGAAUAGAAGGAGUUGAAUAGAAGGUUGUCCAGUUUAACUGCUGAUUUGGUAAUAGUCUUGACCUCCAGGGUUGUGUUCAUUAGGCACAGUGUAGCAAAACAUUAAGAAGCUGGUGGCCACCAAUGAGUUGAAUAGAAGGUGUUGAAGAGAAGGUUGUCCAGAUUAACUGCUACUUUGGUAACAGCUUUGACCUCUAUAGCAGCUGUUAUAUCUGGGAUGACUGAAGACCUGAUGACAGGAGCCUCUGCUUAAUUAAUAGUCCUGCAAUUUAUCCCACGAACAGGGCCAUGUACCAAAAAACUCAUAAUAUAUCAAACAGUCAUAAUAACAGUCAACUUUAGUAUCGCAAUCAUCUAAAUAAUGUUGUACUCAACUUGUUGGAUCAGAAUCAGGGUUGUGUUCAUUAGGUACAGUGUAGCAAAACAUUAAAAAGCUGGUGGCCACCGGCUUCUUAAGAAGGCGAUGAUUGUGGACUACAGAAAAAGGAGGACCGAGCAUGCCCCCAUUCUCAUCAACAGGGCUGUAGUGGAGCAGGUUGAGAGUUUCAAGUUCCUUGGUGUCCACAUCAACAACAAACGAGAAUGGUCCAAACACACCAAGACAGUCAUGAAGAGGGCACGACAAAGCCUAUUCCCCCUCAGGAAACUAAAAAGAUUUGGCAUGGGUCCUCAGAUCCUCAAAAGGUUCUACAGCUGCAACAUCGAAAGCAUCCUGCCUGACUGGUUGCAUCACUGCCUGGUACGGCAAUAGCUCGACCUCUGACAGCAAGGCACUACAGAGGGUAGUGUGUACGGCCCAGUACAUCACUGGGGCUAAGCUGCCUGCCAUCCAGUACCUCUACACCAGGCGGUGUCAGAGGAAGGCUCUAAAAAUUGUCAAAGACCCCAGUCACCCCAGUCAUUGAAUGUUCUCUCUACUACCGCACGGCAAGCAGUACCGGAGUGCCAAGUCUAGGACAAAAAGGCUUCUCAACAGUUUUUACCCCCAAGCCAUAAGACCCCUGAACAGGUAAUCAAAUGGCUACCCAGACUAUUUGCAUUGUGUGCCUCCCCCAACCCCUCUUUUUACGCUGCUGCUACUCUCUGGUUAUCAUAUAUGCAUAGUCACUUUAACUACUACCUCAAUUGGGCCGACCAACCAGUGCUCCCGCACAGUGGCUAUCCGGGCUAUCUGCAUUGUGUCCCACCCACCAACCCCUCUUUUAGGCUACUGCUACUCUCUGUUCAUCAUAUUUGCAUAGUCACUUUAACCAUAUCUACAUGUACAUACUACCUCUAUCAGUCUGACUAACCGGUAUGUAUCCUUGCUACUUUUAUAGCCUCUCUACUGUAUAUAGCCUCUCUGCUGUUAUAGCCUCUCUACU